AAUCCGUGUUUUGCCAUUCAAACGUUUCUCAAGCAUCAUGUCAAAAUAUGCGAAUUGCUCAUCCUUCGUGGAAAUCCAUGUAUUGUUAUCUAUCUUGCCUGAUAAAAUAUCAUAUAAAAAGAGGCAGCCAGAAACAACCUACCUUCAAGAAAGAAACACCCUUUGGUAGGCAAGUGAACAACAACAACAACAACAACAACAAUAACAAUACAAAUUAAUAAUGAAAUCCUACACCCUGUUGGCCCUUCUCAUCGUGGUCUUGAUCCAAGUCCAAGGAUCUUGGUCUUGUUCGAGCUUUGGAGGAAGUUGUGACAGUGACUUUGAUUGCUGUGGGUUUGGCUCCUUGUCUUGUAGCGGAGGAAACUGUUGCAAGGCUCUCAAUACGGCAUGCUCCUCAAGCUCAGAAUGCUGCCCAGGACUCAGAUGUAAAUCAGGAUUCAACUAUUGUGGAUGGGUCAAAUCGGAUCAUGUGGAUUCUCAGGAUGCUUAAAACUCUCAAGACUUUCAACCCAACGAUUAAACGGACGAAUCCUAGAUCAGAAGAUUUCCGACCGAUUGCAAUCCAAAUCAUUCAUAAUAUAUGUUCUAUGAUAGAGUAUAUGAAAUAUCAACAUGCAUGUGCUUGAAGCUUUAAAUAGAUGGUCUCAAUUUGA